GCCUGGCUAGCUCAAUCGGUAGAGCGUUUGACUCUUAUUAUCAAAAGGUUGCGGGUUCGAUCCCCGCGUCGGGUU
rnacentral:tRNA from 1 species